AGAGUUUGAUCAUGGUCAGAAUGAACGCUGCCGGUAUGCUUAACACAUGCAAGUCGACGAAAGUUUUUACCUUUAGUGGCGAACGGGUGCGUAAUACGUGAGAAUCUGCCCUUAGAAGGAGGAUAACUACUGGAAACGGUUGCUACCACUCCAUAUGUCGAGAGAUGAAAUAACUUUGUUGCCUAAGGAUGAGCUCGCGCCUGAUUAGCUAGUUGGUGAGGUAAUGGCUCACCAAGGCCACGAUCAGUAGCUGGUUUGAGAGAACGAUCAGCCACACUGGGACUGAGACACGGCCCAGACUCCUCCGGGAGGCAGCAGUGAGGAAUUUUCCGCAAUGGGCGAAAGCCUGACGGAGCAAUACCGCGUGAGGGACGAAGGAUUUUGGUCUGUAAACCUCUUUUCUCAAGAAAGAAGUUCUGACGGUACUUGAGGAAUAAGCAUCGGCUAACUCCGUGCCAGCAGCCGCGGUAAUACGGGGGAUGCAAGCGUUAUCCGGAAUCAUUGGGCGUAAAGCGCCUGUAGGUUGUUUAUUAAGUCUGUUGUUAAAGACUAGGGCUUAACCCUAGGAAAGCAAGAGAAACUAAUAGACUUGAGUAGGCAGGGGUAGAGGGAAU
rnacentral:rRNA from 1 species